GAUGAACGCUGGCGGCGUGCCUAAUACAUGCAAGUCGAGCGAACAGACGAGGAGCUUGCUCCUCUGACGUUAGCGGCGGACGGGUGAGUAACACGUGGAUAACCUACCUAUAAGACUGGGAUAACUUCGGGAAACCGGAGCUCAUACCGGAUAAUAUAUUGAACCGCAUGGUUCAAUAGUGAAAGACGGUUUUGCUGUCACUUAUAGAUGGAUCCGCGCCGCAUUAGCUAGUUGGUAAGGUAACGGCUUACCAAGGCAACGAUGCGUAGCCGACCUGAGAGGAUGAUCGGUCACACUGGAACUGAGACACGGUCCAGACUCCUACGGGAGGCAGCAGUAGGGAAUCUUCCGCAAUGGGCGAAAGCCUGACGGAGCAACGCCGCGUGAGUGAUGAAGGUCUUCGGAUCGUAAAACACUGUUAUUAGGGAAGAACAAAUGUGUAAGUAACUAUGCACGUCUUGACGGUACCUAAUCAGAAAGCCACGGCUAACUACGUG
rnacentral:rRNA from 1 species